GGCCAGCCGAUAGUCACGAGUUUUUAUCCAACUUGCUUUGACCGUCCGUCUUUUUUGAAAAAAAAUUAAGAAAGCAUAAGUCAUGCAUAAAAUAUUAUUCAUGUUUUAUCCUCUAAUAACAAUAAAAAUACUAAUUAUAAAAAAAUUCAAAUAAAAUGAACUAUCAAAGUUGGAUACGGAACUCAUGGUUCUACUUAAA
rfam:Oryza punctata chromosome 11, whole genome shotgun sequence.